GACGGUUCUCAGGUGAUGCACCCCAGAAUCAAGCUUCCUCCUCUCUGGUUCUGGGUGCAUCACCUGAGAACCGCA
rfam:Myotis brandtii contig248156, whole genome shotgun sequence.